rnacentral:piRNA from 1 species
CGUUCUGAAUGGGUCUUGAGCCGGUG